CAAAUAUUGUGGUAAUGGAUGCUCAAGAAAUACUGCCAACAGAGAUAGAUAUACCAUAAGGUAGAAUUCUGCCAUUGUUCCUGCAAAGAUCAGUCAGGGACACCUGGCAGCUCCAUCUGUUCAUCACUCUAGGGACUGCUCUCUGAUUCCUCCUCUUUGAUUCAGUAACUGCCCCAUCAGUACUGCUAAAAGGAAUCAUCUUCCAUUCAGAGAUCUCAAAGCACUUCAAGGGCAAUCAGUAAGGACUGCCAGAGGAUCCAGAACUUCUGGGCGUUUUAGGACCAUUUUAUGAACUCUCCAGGUCCGUGUCCGCUCUGUAUGUUUUGUUAGUGAAGAGGAACUCCAUUAGUCUGGCAUUCUUUGUGAAAGUUUGGGAAGGGGAUGAUCACAGCCCUUAACAGAAUCCCAGAGAAUAUUGCAUCAUGUUAAAAAUGUCUCUGCUCAAUCCUCUGAUGUCUGUUUGGUGUCGUAAUAAAGAAAAAAGGGACCCUGAUGCAUAUGCCAUGGGACUAUCCAACAGUAGGCAGCUUUGGAGAGAGGUGGACAUGAGAGUUACUAUGGUGUUUGACUUCUGCAGCCAAACCUCUGCUGAAAAUUAUAUUUUAGGAUACUUACCUGUGAAAUUCAUUUUAACUCCACCCCAAGACUGUAGUUCUUGAGGGCUGCAGUGUUCAUUAAAGUGCAUGAUUUUACAAAGAUGGAAGAGUAAGCUUAUAUCUAGAAUAGAGCAGUGGUAUUCAUAGUUAGAAGCCAACUAUGUAGAGCAUACAAGUGUAGAGAUCAGUUGUAUGAAUUUGAAGAUAUUUAUACUGUAUUUCUAUAUACUGUUGGAUAGAUCUAAUACUGCCCCACUCCUUUUCCCUUUGCCCUGGUCCCCUCCUUCUGUUUUCUCCCUAUUCAUGUACAUCUUCCAUUUCAUUACUGCAACACCCACCCUAACGUGUUUUGUCUAUGCACUGUUGUCUUGUAUUUAUCUAACUGUGACGAGAUCCCCUGAU